rnacentral:rRNA from 1 species
UAACGAAUAUUCCGCAAUGCGCGAGAGCGUGACGGAGCAAUGCCGCGUGCAGGAUGAAGCGGUUUCGCCGUGUAAACUGCUGUCAGGGGCCACUAAUCAUGAAGAACCCCAGAGGAAGGGCCGGCUAAUCUCGUGCCAGCAGCCGCGGUAAUACGAGAGGCCCGAGCGUUAAUCGGAAUCACUGGGCUUAAAGGGUGCGUAGGCGGGCCCGCAAGCGUCUUGUGAAAUCCCACAGCUCAACUGUGGAACUGCAGGGCGAACUGCGGGCCUUGAGGAAGCUAGAGGCCGGCGGAACGAUAGGUGGAGCGGUGGAAUGCGUAGAUAUCUAUCGGAACGCCAAAGGUGAAGACAGCCGGCUGGGGCUUUCCUGACGCUGAGGCACGAAAGCGUGGGGAGCAAACAGGAUUAGAUACCCCCGUAGUCC